rnacentral:tRNA from 1 species
GGUGAUCUAGCUCAUCGGUAGAGCGCGGGCCUCAUAAGCCCGAGGCAAAAGGUUCGACUCCUUUGCUCACCGCCA